rnacentral:rRNA from 1 species
UACGGAGGGAGCUAGCGUUAUUCGGAAUUACUGGGCGUAAAGCGCACGUAGGCGGCUUUGUAAGUAAGAGGUGAAAGCCCAGAGCUCAACUCUGGAAUUGCCUUUUAGACUGCAUCGCUUGAAUCAUGGAGAGGUCAGUGGAAUUCCGAGUGUAGAGGUGAAAUUCGUAGAUAUUCGGAAGAACACCAGUGGCGAAGGCGGCUGACUGGACAUGUAUUGACGCUGAGGUGCGAAAGCGUGGGGAGCAAACAGGAUUGAGAA